rnacentral:rRNA from 1 species
AACGAACGCUGGCGGCAGGCUUAACACAUGCAAGUCGAGCGCCCCGCAAGGGGAGCGGCAGACGGGUGAGUAACGCGUGGGAAUCUACCCAUCUCUACGGAAUAACGCAUGGAAACGUGUGCUAAUACCGUAUACGUCCCUCGGGAGAAAGAUUUAUCGGAGAUGGAUGAGCCCGCGUUGGAUUAGCUAGUUGGUGGGGUAAAGGCUUACCAAGGCGACGAUCCAUAGCUGGUCUGAGAGGAUGAUCAGCCACACUGGGACUGAGACACGGCCCAGACUCCUACGGGAGGCAGCAGUGGGGAAUAUUGGACAAUGGGCGCAAGCCUGAUCCAGCCAUGCCGCGUGAGUGAUGAAGGCCCUAGGGUUGUAAAGCUCUUUCACCGGUGAAGAUAAUGACGGUAACCGGAGAAGAAGCCCCGGCUAACUUCGUGCCAGCAGCCGCGGUAAUAC